ensembl:lncRNA
AAAAAACAUUCUUCUUUAGUUUGUGGAAGUCUUUAAACCUUCACAAGCUAAAGAGUGACAUCGUGAUGGUGAUUCUUUCUGUGUAACAGGAUGUUGAUUAUUCGUCUCACCUUAAGGUGGGCAGAAGAAGAUCAAUGGACUUUUACACUUUAUUGUGGCCAUCUUUGAUAUUCCUUAUAGAGCAUGACAGAAUUCCCCGAAGCGUGACCUGUCAGUUACUGCCGUCAAAAGAAUUCGCUCACAAACAAAAAUAAAGGAGCCGAGCAUUGGCGAAAGCAUGCACACUAUGCACGCAGUCAGCUGGACAAUUGCAAGAGCAUGCAUGUGCAUGCUUAAACUGUGGCUCAUGAUUUACACUCCCAAAUGACUCAUCAUGACAUUAAAUGAAAACGAGAGAGCGAUCAAAUUAUCUUUUAUCCGCCGGCUGCUGCCUGACAGGAUUGCAACUGUGUUUGAAAGUUAAAAAUUUUUUAAAAAGCGGAAAGCCUCUAAGGCUGGGCUGAAGUUCAACGGUUUCAGGAUGUCUGCCAUGCUCCACCCGUGUACUAUGUAAAUCAGACAAAUGAGCAAGAUGCAUGAUGUAAUGAAGGAGAAGACUACAAUGUUUGGGUGUGUCAGAGCAUGGAAAGUUUAAACCAAUGAGGUACCUCGAAGACAAAGAGAGGCAUGAAGUCACCUUUGGAGAGCCCUUUUUUUGAUAGGCAUGAGAAUUUUUAAAAAACUAUUCAGUGCACUUCUGUGAAUUGACGUAUUAUUGAAAUCACUCAUACUGAGUACGUUUCACUUCAAGUUUC